UACGUAGGGGGCAAGCGUUGUCCGGAAUCAUUGGGCGUAAAGCGCGCGUAGGCGGCCAGAUUAGUCCGGUGUGAAAGUCAGAGGCUCAACCUUUGAAUGCCGCUGGAAACUGUCUGGCUUGAGUCCGGAAGGGGCGAGUGGAAUUCCUGGUGUAGCGGUGAAAUGCGCAGAUAUCAGGAGGAACACCAAUGGCGAAGGCAGCUCGCUGGGACGUGACUGACGCUGAGACGCGAAAGCGUGGGGAGCAAACAGG
rnacentral:rRNA from 1 species